rnacentral:rRNA from 1 species
AUUGAACGCUGGCGGCAGGCCUAACACAUGCAAGUCGAACGAGUGGCGGACGGGUGAGUAAGGUCUGGGAAACUGCCUGAUGGAUGGGGAUAACCACUGGAAACGGUAGCUAAUACCGCAUACCAUCUGAUGUGCCCAGAUGGGAUUAGCUAGUAGGGGGGGUAAAGGCUCACCUAGGCGACGAUCCCUAGCUGGUCUGAGAGGAGUACCAGCCACACUGGAACUGAGACACGGUCCAGACUCGUACGGGCGGAAGCAGUGGGGAAUAUUGCACAAUGGGCGCAAGCCUGAUGCAGCCAUGCCGCGUGUAUGAAGACGGCCUUCGGGUUGUAAAGUACUUUCAGCGGGGAGGCGUGACCCGCAGAAGAAGCCCCGGCUAACUCCGUGCCAGCAGCCGCGGUAAUUC